rnacentral:rRNA from 1 species
AGCUUGUUGGUGGGGUAAUGGCCUACCAAGGCGACGAUGGUUAGCUGGUCUGAGAGGAUGAUCAGCCACACUGGAACUGAAACACGGUCCAGACUCCUACGGGAGGCAGCAGUGAGGAAUUUUGCGCAAUGGGGGAAACCCUGACGCAGCAACGCCGCGUGAGUGAAGAAGGCUUUCGGGUCGUAAAGCUCUGUCAAGUGGGAAAAAAUCCUUAUGAUGAAUAGUCAUAAGGCCUGAUGGUACCACUGAAGGAAGCACCGGCUAACUCCGUGCCAGCAGCCGCGGUAAUACGGAGGGUGCAAGCGUUGAUCGGAAUUAUUGGGCGUAAAGAGCGUGUAGGCGGUAUGGUAAGUCAGAUGUGAAAGCCCUGGGCUCAACCCAGGAAGUGCAUUUGAUACUGCCAUUCUUGGGUAUGGGAGAGGAGAGUGGAAUUCCCAGUGUAGAGGUGAAAUUCGUAGAUAUUGGGAGGAACACCCGUGGCGAAGGCGGCUCUCUGGACCAAUACUGACGCUGAGACGCGAAAGCGUGGGGAGCAAACAGGAUUAGAUACCCUGGUAGUCCACGCCGUAAACGAUGAGAACUAGGUGUAGCGGGUAUUGACCCCUGCUGUGCCGAAGUUAACGCAUUAAGUUCUCCGCCUGGGGAGUACGGCCGCAAGGCUAAAACUCAAAGGAAUUGACGGGGACCCGCACAAGCGGUGGAGCAUGUGGUUUAAUUCGACGCAACGCGAAGAACCUUACCUGGAUUUGACAUCCUCUGACAACCCUAGAAAUAGGGCCUUUUCGACCUGUCGAAACAGAGUGACAGGUGCUGCAUGGCUGUCGUCAGCUCGUGUCGUGAGAUGUUGGGUUAAGUCCCGCAACGAGCGCAACCCUUGUUUUUAGUUGCCAGUAUUAAGUUAGGCACUCUAAAGAUACUGCCUCGGUUAACGGGGAGGAAGGUGGGGAUGACGUCAAGUCCUCAUGGCCUUUAUAUCCAGGGCUACACACGUGCUACAAUGGGCUGUACAAAGGGUCGCGACACCGCGAGGUGAAGCUAAUCUCAAAAAGCAGCUCUCAGUUCGGAUUGGAGUCUGCAACUCGACUCCAUGAAGUUGGAAUCGCUAGUAAUCGUGGAUCAGCAUGCCACGGUGAAUACGUUCCCGGGUCUUGUACACACCGCCCGUCACACCACGAAAGUCGGCUGUACCAGAAGUUGCUGGGCUAACCCUUCGGGGAGGCAGGUACCUAAGGUACGGUCGGUAAUUGGGGUGAAGUCGAAACAAGGUAGCCGUAGGGGAACCUGUGGCUG